rnacentral:rRNA from 1 species
GAGUGCAAUCAUACUAGUGUUAAUGCACCAGAUCCCAUCGGAACUCCGCAGUUAAGCGAGCUUGGGCUAGAGUAGUACUAGGAUGGGUGACCUCUUGAGAAGUCCUAGUGUUUUACCAU